rnacentral:lncRNA from 1 species
GAGUACUCUAGGCAUUCCUGGCAGAGGAUACAGCAGGAGCAAAGGCCUGGAGGCUAAAAAUAGCUUGCGGGCAGGGGAGCUACCAGCAGUUCAGUGCUUCUGGAGUUUAAAGAGCCCGGCGAGGGUCAUGUCAGAUGACGCCGGUCCACGAGAAGGAGGGUGGAUUAUAUCCUUAGAGACGCCAUAGAGUGAGGAUAUAAUGGCUCUGUAACAAGCAUAAACUGUGAUGGUCUGGGAUGCCCUCGUCAUAGACAGCCCCUGGAGAGUCAUAGAGUCUCACUCUGUCGCCCAGGCUGGAGUGCAUUGGCACGAUCUCAGCUCACUGCAACGUCCGCCUCCCGGGUUCAAAUAAUGUUUAUCGAUGAGAAAACAGAAAUUUGAAGAGGCAAAGCAAGUUGCCCAAGGCCAAGGGAGAAGGUCAGCGUGAACUGCUACCGCCAUGUUGAAGUUCAUCUUCUCUUCACUGCGAGAAGCUGCCUGGACACCAGGGUGGAGGAGCUGUCAGGGCCCUCACUGUGGAAGGAAGGUCCACAGAAAACAUCCUGGGGUCCUGAGCUGAAGUGUGAUGGGAGGAGUCCUCUGUAUCUCAGUCUGAUCCUGGUCUCCCUCUCGGCCAUGGUCUCACACUAGUGCUGCUGGGAAACCAUCCCUCACAUCCAGUCCUGGCAUCGGGCAGUGACUCUGGUCCAACUGUUGUCCAACUCAAGGGUUUAGCUGCUUAGAUUUUCCUAAAACUUGAAUUUCAUUUUCCUCUAGCCAUGGAAUACAGAUUAAUCCUUUACAAUUAAAAUCCAAGUUCAGAUUUUAUUUGUUGUGGUUUUUAAUUAAAAUCUCAC